CCUACGGGAGGCAGCAGUGAGGAAUAUUGCGCAAUGGGCGAAAGCCUGACGCAGCGACGCCGCGUGAGGGAUGAAGGUCUUCGGAUCGUAAACCUCUGUCAGCAGGGAAGAACGGUCACUGUGCUAAUCAGCAGUGAAUUGACGGUACCUGCAAAGGAAGCACCGGAUAACUCCGUGCCAGCAGCCGCGGUAAUACGGAGGGUGCGGGCGUUAAUCGGAAUUAGUGGGCGUAAAGCGCUCGUCGGCGGUUUGUCAAGUCAAGGGUGAAAUCCCGGCGCUCAACGUGGGAACUGCCUUUGAAACUGGCAGACUGGAGUGUGUGAGAGGAUAGUGGAAUUCCAGGUGUAGGAGUGAAAUCCGUAGAUAUCUGGAGGAACAUCAGUGGCGAAGGCGACUGUCUGGCACAUAACUGACGCUGAGGAGCGAAAGCGUGGGUAGCAAACAGGAUUAGAUACCCGAGUAGUC
rnacentral:rRNA from 1 species